AUCAAAUCACAAAUUUCGAAAUGUUUGAAAACUAAAGUGCAAUUUAACUCAAACGUAUAAAGUGAGUUAGGAUUGAGUACAGGUGUGUGAAUUUUAAAUGGGAGAAAGGAUGAGAGAAAACCGCUAUCAGCUCUCCUUCAUGCUCCAGUCGGGGAGCUCUCUCUUCAUUUUUCUUCUUCUUGCAUUUCCUUCAAUUUUAAAAAAAAAAAAUCUCAACAUCCACUUUGAGUUUUUGUUUAAAUUACUGAAAACUACUACCUACACUCAUUUCCACCUUCAAAUCUCCAUUUUUUAUUAAGGGUUUUUAUGGUUCCUAAGAGAGAAAAUAGAAGCUAGUAAGAAAGCUUCAAAAAGAAAAUGUGAAGAUGAGGCAUGGUAUUCCAAGCUAUUUUGAAGUUGGAUUCAAGUGGAUGGAAGCUUGGAUUUAAGUAGAAAAGCAUCCAAGAGGUAAAUACCUUUGGAUUUAUUAUCUUGAAAUAAAUGGUUAAAUAAAUUAUGAGUUAAACGUGGAAAAAUAUGGUUUAAUAUGUUGUGAUAAAUGGGAAAGAAAAUGGUAACUUUAAUGACUUUGGCUUAAUUUGUAUAAAAAUGAAAUGGAUAUUAUAUUUUGAGAAAA